UAAAAGCUACUUUCGCAUGAAAGAAGUUUAAAAAGGCGCGUAAGCUGUCGCUAAAGGGAUGGACCUGCGAUGCAUUAGCUAGUUGGUAAGGGUAACGGGCUUACCAAGGCGAUGAUGCAUAGCCCGAGUUGAGAGACUGAUCGGGCCACGUUGGGGACUGAGACACGGGCCCAAACUCCUACGGGAGGCAGCAGUAGGGAAUCUUCCACAAUGGACGAAAGUCUGAUGGAGCAAACGCCGCGUGAGUGAAGAAGGUUUUCGGAUCGUAAAGCUCUGUUGUUGGUGAAGAAGGAUAGAGGUAGUAACUGGCCCUUUAUUUGACGGUAAUCAACCAGAAAGUCACGGGCUAACUACGUGCCAGCAGCCGCGGUAAAU
rnacentral:rRNA from 1 species